AGGGGCCUUAGCUCAGCUGGGAGAGCAUCUGCUUUGCAAGCAGAGGGUCAUCGGUUCGAUCCCGAUAGGCUCCACCA
rnacentral:tRNA from 1 species